CCUACGGGUGGCAGCAGUGGGGGAUAUUGCACAAUGAGGGAACCCUGAUGCAGCGACGCCGCGUGGGUUAAGGAGUGCUUCGGCAUGUAAAGCCCUAUCGGCAGGGAGGAAGCAAGACGGUACCUGACUAAGAAGCCCCGGCUAACUACGUGCCAGCAGCCGCGGUAAUACGUAGGGGGCGCGCGUUAGCCGGAUUCACUGGGUGUAAAGGGAGCUGAGACGGCCAUGCAAGCCAGGGGUGAAAGCCGGGGGCCCAACCCCGGGACUGCCCUUGAAACUGUAGGGCUGGAGUGCGGGAGGGGCAGGCGGAAUGCCUGGUGUAGCGGUGAGAUGCGUAGAUAUCAGGAGGAACACCGGCGGCGAAGGCGGCCUGCUGGACCGCGACUGACGUUGAGGCUCGAAAGCGUGGGGAGCGAACAGGAUUAGAUACCCCUGUAGUC
rnacentral:rRNA from 1 species